rnacentral:rRNA from 1 species
ACACGUAGGUGGCAAGCGUUGUCCGGAAUUAUUGGGCGUAAAGCGCGCGCAGGCGGUCCUUUAAGUCUGAUGUGAAAGCCCACGGCUCAACCGUGGAGGGUCAUUGGAAACUGGGGGACUUGAGUGCAGAAGAGGAAAGUGGAAUUCCAAGUGUAGCGGUGAAAUGCGUAGAGCUUUGGAGGAACACCAGUGGCGAAGGCGACUAUCUGGUCUGUAACUGACGCUGAGGCGCGAAAGCGUGGGGAGCAAACAGGAUUAGAUACCCUGGUAGUCAACGACGUAAACGAUGAGUGCUAGGUGUUAGGGGGUUUCCGCCCCUCAGUGCUGCAGCUAACGCAUUAAGCACUCCGCCUGGGGAGUACGGUCGCAAGACUGAAACUCAAAUGAAUUGACGGGG